AAUGGCUUUGGCCUCUGGACAGUGGAAGAAUGAACAAUGUAAUAAAGAAAAUUUCAUUAUCUGUGAGAAAAAGAUAUCAGUGUCUUUGCCAUCGCUGGAGAGCUAUGUGACAGGUGUCCCACUAAUGUCAGGCAUAUACACAGUGUCCCGGAUACAACUGCUACCCUCUCCACCAGACGCAGGACAACAAAUGGUUGAGAUUAUGUUGUUCCCAGGUCUUUGGUUCAGUCAUGAGGGUCGAGUCCUGUCUUUGGAUUUGGUGAUGCAGCCAAGUGAUCAGCUGACCUUUGCUAGAGUGCAAAUCUUACGGCCGUACUGCAGUCCAAGUCA
ensembl:lncRNA